rnacentral:rRNA from 1 species
AGAGUUUGAUCCUGGCUCAGAGCGAACGCUGGCGGCAGGCUUAACACAUGCAAGUCGAGCGGGCACUUCGGUGUCAGCGGCAGACGGGUGAGUAACACGUGGGAACGUACCCUUUGGUUCGGAAUAACGCUGGGAAACUAGCGCUAAUACCGGAUACGCCCUUUUGGGGAAAGGCUUGCUGCCGAAGGAUCGGCCCGCGUCUGAUUAGCUAGUUGGUGGGGUAAUGGCCUACCAAGGCGACGAUCAGUAGCUGGUCUGAGAGGAUGAUCAGCCACACUGGGACUGAGACACGGCCCAGACUCCUACGGGAGGCAGCAGUGGGGAAUAUUGGACAAUGGGCGCAAGCCUGAUCCAGCCAUGCCGCGUGAGUGAUGAAGGCCUUAGGGUUGUAAAGCUCUUUUGUCCGGGACGAUAAUGACGGUACCGGAAGAAUAAGCCCCGGCUAACUUCGUG